AAGAGACAGCAGCAGCCGCGGGAAUACGGAGGGUGCAAGCGUUACUCGGAAUUACUGGGCGUAAAGCGUGCGUAGGUGGUGGUUUAAGUCCGUUGUGAAAGCCCUGGGCUCAACCUGGGAAUUGCAGUGGAUACUGGGUCACUAGAGUGUGGUAGAGGAUAGUGGAAUUUCCGGUGUAGCAGUGAAAUGCGUAGAGAUCGGAAGGAACAUCUGUGGCGAAGGCGACUAUCUGGGCCAACACUGACACUGAGGCACGAAAGCGUGGGGAGCAAACAGGAUUAGAUACCCCUGUAGUCCCUGUCUCUUAUAC
rnacentral:rRNA from 1 species